rnacentral:rRNA from 1 species
UGGGGAAUAUCGGACAAUGGGCGCAAGCCUGAUCCAGCCAUGCCGCGUGAGUGAUGAAGGCCCUAGGGUUGUAAAGCUCUUUCACCGGUGAAGAUAAUGACGGUAACCGGAGAAGAAGCCCCGGCUAACUUCGUGCCAGCAGCCGCGGUAAUACGAAGGGGGCUAGCGUUGUUCGGAUUUACUGGGCGUAAAGCGCACGUAGGCGGACUAUUAAGUCAGGGGUGAAAUCCCGGGGCUCAACCCCGGAACUGCCUUUGAUACUGGUAGUCUUGAGUUCGAGAGAGGUGAGUGGAAUUCCGAGUGUAGAGGUGAAAUUCGUAGAUAUUCGGAGGAACACCAGUGGCGAAGGCGGCUCACUGGCUCGAUACUGACGCUGAGGUGCGAAAGCGUGGGGAGCAAACAGG